rnacentral:rRNA from 1 species
AUUGAACGCUGGCGGAAUGCUUUACACAUGCAAGUCGAACGGCAGCACGGACUUCGGUCUGGUGGCGAGUGGCGAACGGGUGAGUAAUGUAUCGGAACGUGCCCAGUCGUGGGGGAUAACGUAGUGAAAAUUACGCUAAUACCGCAUACGAUCUAUGGAUGAAAGCGGGGGAUCGCAAGACCUCGCGCGAUUGGAGGGGCCGAUAUCAGAUUAGGUAGUUGUUGGGGUAAAGGCCCACCAAGCCAACGAUCUGUAGCUGGUCUGAGAGGACGACCAGCCACACUGGAACUGAGACACGGUCCAGCCUCCUACGGGAGGCAGCAGUGGGGAAUUUUGGACAAGGGGCGAAAGCCUGAUCCAGCCAUUCCGCGUGCAGGAUGAAGGCCCUCGGGUUGUAAACUGCUUUUGUACAGAACGAAAAGGUUUCUACUAAUACUAGGAGCUCAUGACGGUACUGUAAGAAUAAGCACCGGCUAACUACGUGCCAGCCGCCGCCGUAA